GAUUCCGUAGCUCAGCUGGUAGAGCAAUACACUUUUAAUGUAUGGGCCCUGGGUUCGAAUCCCAGCGGAAUCACAA
rnacentral:tRNA from 1 species